GGGCUCGCGGCGCUGCGGCGGCGUCGCCGUCGUCGUCGUCGUCGUCGUCGGAGCGGGCCCCGCUCGGAGCGCUCCGUCGAAAACUCAAAAACCGGCUACGGCCCGCACGCCGGCGCGGGCGCGCGCGCAGGUAUCGCACCGCGCGCGCUACGGUCGAGCGGAACGGAACCGCGGCCAGACGCGAACGCUCGCCGGUCCGUCGACCGUCAUUCGUACGACUGCUGCAAUCAACAACUAACGUUCUCGCACCGAGUUCUCUCAUUUCACCACCACCAUAAUAUUAUUAAAACACACUCAUUUCUUAUUCCGUUAUAAUAAUAUCAUAAUACUAUGUAUUCUGUUGCCGUUUACGAUUCUCGACAAUAUUAUCACACUUACUCGCUGCACCAUAAAAAUAUCAUUUUUACAUUUAUAAUUUUUUUUUUUUUCUAUCAUUAUUAUUCUUUUCGUCCGUCAAUCGGGUAAACUGAAUUCAUCGUUAUUCUCGCGCCGAUAUCACGGUUACAUAUUAUUUUGUGUUUGUUUUUUUUUCCGUUUUUUUUUUUUUUUUUAAUUUUAUUUUAUCAAAAAUCAAAACCCUCAGUAAUUAAAGUUAAAGAAACGGUCGCGAUAUACUAACAAAAACUCGCGCUCAUUGCCAGGCUGCAGACAGUCCUCCGAUACAUCAUCGAAGAUGGUAAACCGGCGAAAUUGUUAUUGUCACUCAUAUCAUAUUGUACUCGUUGUACAGAUACAGUACACACACAUGUUAAGUCGAAAUACGAAAUAUUGUACUAUUUGGAACUAUAAUACACGACUACCUAACCUUCUUCCAGACUGAAAAUUACGUCGUUUUCUCAUUGGUAAUAUGGAAAUUUCAAACACCGCACUGUUGUCAAACACUAUCCAAAUUCCUCAUGUACGAAUACAGACAAGAGGCUGUAUGACGAAUUGAUGGCGGGUACCUAUCUAAUAUCGAUGUACCGAGCCAAUAUGUAGUACGAAAAAAAUCGAAAAUAAAAAUUCGUUAGUCAGAUAAUACAUCACAAUACAAUCGAACGAGUCGUAAUUUCACACGAGCAACAAAAAUGAUGACAUCAAUAAUCAGAUAUCCUGUUUUACACAAAAUAUCAUCGGAUCCCAGUAGUCAAAGCUAUUCCCACGAAUUGUCGUUGAAUGUCGACGACAAAAAACGAUAUUGUUCCUCAUAACCUAAUACGAAUUGUUCCAUGCCAGAAUGCUGCGACGCAAACGAUCGACGGAAAUCACAUUUUGCUCGCGGAAUUCGGAGGCUAAACAAACGCUUCUGGACCUCAAUUAUAAUUGCAUUCCACUCGGCGCCGCAACAAAAUAAACGGUCUACAUUUUACGGAUGAAAUUCCACUGAUGUCGUCUUCCGUGGUCUGCAGAAAAACUCGUAUGAACCGAGUACAACAAUAAUAAUAACAACAACAACAACAACAACAACAACAAUAAUACAACGCAGUACGGAAAACAGGAGACAAAAAUUUCUAGAAUUGCAACUAUUGUUGUCAUCGAGUUCAAUGGAUGAUGAAUUCCCGUCAGAGAGGAGUGAACUUUUCAAAAACGAACAAACAGGUAAAACGUUUUCGGUUUUUGAUAAUAUUUAAAAAAUAAAGACAACGGGUCGUGACAAAAGCAUACCUCUCGUCCACACAAUGGUCGAGGCGCUGCGCCCACGACGUUUUUGUUUUAAUAAUGAAGCUGUUUCAAAUAAUGGACACGAAACUUUUGUUCGACAUUUCAGUUUGCAUAUAGAUUCUUUAAAUUUUCGUUAUUUUCCCGCUCCCGUUAAUUAUAAUAUAAUGGCAUUACGUGUUAACUGGUCGUUCGUAAGUCUUGGAACUUCACGUUUAAAAAACACAUUAUCAUAAAAUCGUAUUCCACUGCAGCUGUGUGUUACUAUUUUUAUAGUCAUCUCACGUUCUUUAAUUUAUUUUAAAUAGCUAAAUGAUAUAAUAAAAAUAUAUCCUAACUAAGUCUAACUAGAAGAAAUCAAUCCAAUAAACAAUAUAGACUAUAAUUUUGACUAAUACAAUAAUGUAAUUAUUUUUAAAAAUAAGUAAAAUAAAAAUGAUGUGAUUUUGAAUUCAAUUAGAAUUGAUAUCAGCUAGUAUGAAAAUUAAAUUGAUUUCUGUUAAUUUGAUCGUUUACUACUAAUACACUACAAUGGAUGCAUAAGAGAUUACAUUAAACUAUCGCGUACAGUUCCGACGCAUAAAAACCUCAUCGAAAUUAAUUAUUCUUUAUAAAUUGUAAUAAGUAGAACAUUCUAACGUACAUGAUGCAUAUUACAAUAAUAUCUUAUAUUUCGGAGACGAAGACAAGAAACGAAAGAAACCUUUCAAACCAUUUCCUUUAAACUCAAACCCGUUUUUUCAACCAUUAGACGUGCGAGCGUAAUGGUUGUAGUUACAGAAGGGGAGAGGUGAAAUUGUGUAGACACUGUUUCGCGCGCGAUUUCGGCAGCGGUGUUGCGGUAAUUAUUAUUACGUUCACGUGGGUCAUAUCACGACAAAAAUGACAUCUCACAUCGCCGUCUUCGUAAAUACUACACAAACGACGAAAUACGACAGAUAAUAAUAAUAAUAAUAUGGCACCAUAGCGGUGCGGCGGCGGUUGAAUAACCUUCAUCGCAUCCCGGUGCAGCAUUCGUUGUUCUAAUAGUUUCGGUCGUUUCCUACGCCACCGCCGCGAGUUGAUUAAACGCCGUCAUCAUCACGCUCCAGUUUCGUGCAGAUCUCGUAUCGCGAGCCCGACCGACCGUGUGCGUUUCGUUUUAAGACGUAUAAUAUUAUAAUAUACGCAUUUCCACCGCAAGUGGAACGCGGACGGCGGCGGUGCGUGCGCCGGUAAUCUAAUAUAUCGCGACCAGGCUGCAGCAUUACCAUAAUAAUAUUAUACUACAUUUUAAUGUACGCGCAAUGCCAUUACUAUAUGAUAUCACACUCACUAUACGGUCACUAUUAAAAUAUUAUAGUAGAUGAUGGUGUAUGAUAUUACACACAACUGACGCAGCAGCUAUUAUACAUAUCAUGUAUAAUAUGCGGUGUCAUCUGUUUAACGAAAGACACUCGUCGUUUCAAAAAUAUCAAAAUGUUUUUUAUAAUUUCAGGUCCAAACAAUACAGUUUUGGGGGAAAAUGACAUGUUUUCACAAUUUUUAAAAUGGCUGUUUAUACUGUAUUGAAUGACAACAUCCAUAUUUAAUUUCAUAUUCCGAAAAAAAAUAUUAUUCAGAAUAUUUUGAUCUAUAUAAAGACCAAAUUGUUAUCAAACAUUUUAUCGGUUUUAACUUAUAAGUAAAUAUUUAAUGUAGAAAACCAAUUUUUUUUCAGGGUACCACUGUUGUACUAUUUCACUCCGCUUAUCACUAAUUAGAAUCUAAUUAUAAUUUAUAAUAUAGGUACUCUCCAACAUUUUCGAAUUGUAUACAUUGAAGUAGUCCAAAAAAUAUUCUUCAGAAUAAGAAAAUCAAAUCUUAAAAUCUAUGUUGUCAUUAAAAAAGGUAAAAGCUUUUUAAAAAAUUAUGGUGAAAAAAAAUAGUAAAAAAAUAUAUAUUUUUUAGAAAAACCUUGUUUUUAACAAUUAUAAAUUAUGUAAAAAAAAAGUAUAUUCAACCCUUGAUAUUUUUUAAAAUAAUAAAUAUCUUAUAUAAAAUGUAUCACUCAAUAUAAAUACACUCAACGGUGGUCGCGUUUUCCGAUAUUUCAUUUUAUUGUUUCGUCGCCCCGAGAGUGGUUGCUUAUAUAUAUUAUAUAGUAUACUUAUAAUAUAUAUUAUAAUAUUAUUAUAUUGCAAUGUGAGAAACUGUGCGCGCCGCAGGAGAGGCUGCCGCCGCGGACGAGUCGUUCGGGACUACAACGGACUCGUGACUAGAUCUCGUGCGGAUAAUCGUGAUCGUCGAAAACAUCAUAGAGCAGUGAAAUGAAAUUAGGCUAACUGCUGAAACGUCUAAUAAUAUAAUAUACAACAGCCGCGAUCUUGGGAGACCUAUGAGCACUCAUCGUACCGAUUGUUUAGACUUGGCAUAGGAUAUAGUGUACAUAAAUGCAUAUUAUGGUUAAAAAUCUAUGGUGAGCUAGAAAUCUCAAUUAACACGUAUUAACUUUAUAAUAGUUAUAAUAGUGUAGCCGUGUUGAUUGUGAUUAUAGCUGGGAAUUCAAUUCAUUUUACAUUGUUUCCUUGAUAAUUACGCGAUGCUAGUUUUAUAAAAUGCUCAUAUAUUUUUUAUU